UACGUAGGGGGCAAGCGUUGUCCGGAAUUAUUGGGCGUAAAGAGCUCGUAGGCGGUUGGGCAAGUCACGUGUGAAAUCUCCACGCUCAACGUGGAGGCGCCACGUGAGACUGCCCUGACUCGAGUCCGGUAGGGGAGCGUGGAAUUCCCGGUGUAGCGGUGAAAUGCGCAGAGAUCGGGAGGAACACCCGUAGCGAAGGCGGCGCUCUGGGCCGGUACUGACGCUGAGGAGCGAAAGCGUGGGGAGCAAACAGG
rnacentral:rRNA from 1 species